UACGAGGGGGGCAAGCGUUGUUCGGAAUUAUUGGGCGUAAAGGGUGCGUAGGCGGUUUUGUAAGCCAGGUGUGAAAUCCCCGGGCUCAACCUGGGAAUGGCAUUUGGGACUGCAAGGCUGGAGUGCGGCAGAGGAGACUGGAAUUCCUGGUGUAGCAGUGAAAUGCGUAGAUAUCAGGAGGAACACCGAUGGCGAAGGCAGGUCUCUGGGCUGACACUGACGCUCAUGCACGAAAGCGUGGGGAGCAAACAGG
rnacentral:rRNA from 1 species